AUGACCCUAGGUUAGGAAAGAUUAUGAGCUGAGUUUAAAUAUAUCAAUAAGUGGAGGAAAAGAAACUGACCAUGAUUCCCCUAGUAACGAUGAGUGAAUCGAGAAGAGCCCAGCUUAAGAAUGUAGCACUCUCGAUGUCCAAAUUGUAGUCUAAAGAAGUGUCUUCAGUGGUGGACUAGGCCUAAGUCCCUUCAAAAAAAGUAGCAAAGAGGGUAAAAACCGUGUUGUGCUAGGACCCUAUCGUACCAAAAGGCACUGCCUGUAAGUUAGGUUGUUUGGGAAUGUAGCCCCAAUAGGAUGGUAAAUUUCAUUCAAGGUUAAAUAUGGGUGAGAUACUGAUAGCAAACAAGUACCACAAGGGAAAGAUGAAAAGGACUUUGAAAAAGAGUCAAAGUGUGCUUGAAAUGUUUAUGAAAGAAGCAGAUAGGGGCUAGCAAUGUGCCUCAGUUAGAUGUGGAAUGGCAAGAGUUGGUCUGUCGAUCAACUCAGGGCAUGGACUGACAUGGGUCACCAUGGCGACCCAAGCCUGAGCUUUUGAUAUGCCUAUGGAGAUGUCAUCACUACGAUCAUGGAAUGCAGCAUAUCCCAUCUCAACAUGCCCUAAUACUCAUGUGCUCUUGACAUUAGCUUGCAGGUUCCCCAUUCGAUCCUUAUUAAAACAUAGACCAAGGAUUCUGACAUGUGUGUAAGUCACCAGACUAGAAAAUUGUAAGGUGUAAGAAAGCUGAUUGGUAAGAUCCCUCAUAGGUGCACCACCAAUCAACCUUGAUCUUCUGAGUAAGAUUUGAGUGUGAACAUGCUUCUCAAGACCCAAAAGAUGGUGACCUAUGCCUGAAUAGGGUGAAGCUAGAGGAAACUCUAGUGGAGCCACAGUGAUAAUGACAUGCAAAUCAUUUGUUGGACUUGGAUACAAGGGCAAAAGAUUAAUCAAACCCUCUAGUAGCUGGUUCCCUUCAAAGUUUCCCUUAGGAUAGCUAGAGCCCUUAACGAGUUGUAUUUAGUAAAGCCAAUGAUUAGAGGCAUCGGGGGCACAAUGCCCUUGACCUAUUCUCAAACUUUAAAUAAGUAGGAUGGCAUGGCUACUUCAUUAAGCUAUGCCAUGGAAUUGAGAGCUUCAAGUGGGCCAUAUUUGGAAAGCAAAACUGGUGAUGUAGGAUGAACCAGUAGCUGGGUUAGAGUGCCUAACUAUGAGCAAACUUAAAACCUAUAAAGAGUGUUGGUCAAUUAAGAUAACAGGAAGGUGGUCAUGGAAGUUGAAAUCCUCUAAGGAGUGUGUAACAACUCACCUGCUAAAUCAACUAGCCUUAAAAUUGGAUGGCACUUAAGUGUGUGACCUAUACCCAACUAUCGGGGUAAGAGCUAGGCCUCGAUGAGUAAGAGGGUAUGGUGAUUGCCAUAAAACCUAGGGCAUGAGCCUAGGCAAAGUGGCCAUUAGUGUAGAUCUUAGUAGUAGUAACAAAUAUUCAAAUGAAAACUUUGAAGGCUGAAAAGGGGAAAGGUUCCCUGUGAAUGCCACUUACAUGUGGGUUAGUCAAUCCUAAAAGAUAGGGAAAGCCCAUCUGAUAGCAACAUUUGACGUGAGCUUUGAAACGAAAUUAGGUUAAAAUUUUUGAACUAGGAUGCAUCGGUUGAUGGCAAUGUUAGAGAGUCAGAGACAUCUGCAAAGGCCUCGAGAAGAGUUAUCUUUUCUGUUUAAUGGCUUGGCCACCCUAAAAAUAGCUUAGCCAAAGGAAACGUCUAAUGGCCAAAAGAGCAUCAUAUGUUGCAUGGUGUCUGAUGCACCCUUGGUGGCCCUUGAAAAUUUAGAGGACCAAGUGCCAUCUAUGCUUGGCCAUUCUCAUACUGCAUCAAGUAGCCUUUGGUCAAUGGAACAAUGUACGUAAAGGAAGUUAGCAAAAUGAAUUUGUAACCUUGAGAAAAAGAUUGGCUUUGAGGGUUAGGCAUGGGGGUCACAGUCCCAAACUCAUCGACUGCUAGUGCAUUGCCCAUGCUACUCCUAUGGUGAGAGUGGGUUGCUGCUGUUAACCAGAAGAUGGACUUGGAAUGGUUCCCUCGAAGGCCUUCCCUAGAUGAUGAAUAGUUAACUCAUAACUAGUAUGAAUAAGGGGAAUCUAACUAUUUAAUUAAAACAAAGCAUUACGAUGGACCCUAUGGAUGCUCACGUAAUGUGAUUUCUACCUAGUCCUCUAAUUGUUAAAGUGAAGACAUUCAAGCAAGCAUGAGUAAAUAGCAGGAGUAACUAUGACUCUCUUAAGGUAGCCAAAUGCCUCAUCAUCUAAUUAGCAACAUACAUGAAUGGAUUAAUGAGAUUCCCACUAUCCCUUUCUACUAUCCAAUAAAACCACAACCAAGGGAAUGGGCUUGGUGGAAUCAACGGGAAAGAAGACCCUAUUGAGCUUGACUCUAGUAUAACUUUGUGAAAUGAUGUGGGAGGUGUAGGAUAAGUGGGAGCCCUUAGGUGAAAUUGAAAUACCACUACUUUUAAUGUUAUUUACUUAUUCCGUGAAUCAGAGGUAAGGCACAACCCUUUCUUUUAGACCUAAGGCUAGCCAUGGUUGGUUGAUUGGGGUGGAAAACAUUGUCAGCUGAAGAGUUUUGUAGGGUCAGCACAUCUGUUAAAAGAUAACAUAGGUGUCCUAAGAUGAGCUCAAUGAGAACAGAAAUCUCAUAUAGAACAAAAAGGUAAAAGCUCGUUUGUUUGAUUAUGAUUUCCAGUAUGAAUAUGAACUGUGAAAGUGUGGCCUAUCAAUCUUUUAGACCUUUAAAAUUUGAAGCUAGUGGUGUCAGAAAAGUUACCAUAAGGAUAACUACCUUGUAGCAGCCAAGCAUUCAUAGUAACAUUGUUUUUUGAUCCAUUGAUGUCAGCUCUUCCUAUUAUUAUGAAGCAAAAUUCCCCAAGUGUUGGAUUGUUCACCCACCAAUAGGGAAUGUGAGCUAGGUUUAGAUCAUCAUGAGAUAAGUUAGUUUUACCUUACUAAUGGUAGCGUCGCAAUAGUAAUUCAACCUAGUAUGAGAGAAACCAUUAAUUCACAUAAUUGGUCAUUGUGCUAGGUUGAAAAGCUAGUGGCGUGAAGUUACCAUGUGCUGGAUUAUGACUAAAUGCCUCCAAGUUAGAAUCCAAGCUAGAAGUAAUGCAUGUGCCCGCUACCCAAUUGUUGACCCAUAGUAGGGGCCCAUGGCCACCUAGGGCACAUGUCGUAGGUGAAGCCCUAGUGGCAGACAAGCUAUAUGGUAUCUUUGAGCUUAAUUCCCAUCGAGCAGUGGGUAGAAUCCUUUGUAGAUGACUUAAAUAUGUGAUGAGGUAUUAUAAGUGGUAGAGUGGCCAUACUGCCACGAUCCACUGAGAUUCAUC
rnacentral:rRNA from 1 species